rnacentral:rRNA from 1 species
GAUGAACGCUGGCGGCGUGCCUAAUACAUGCAAGUCGAGCGAACAGACGAGGAGCUUGCUCCUCUGACGUUAGCGGCGGACGGGUGAGUAACACGUGGAUAACCUACCUAUAAGACUGGGAUAACUUCGGGAAACCGGAGCUAAUACCGGAUAAUAUAUUGAACCGCAUGGUUCAAUAGUGAAAGACGGUUUUGCUGUCACUUAUAGAUGGAUACGCGCCGCAUUAGCUAGUUGGUAAGUUAACGGCUUACCACGGCAACGAUGCGUAGCCGACCUGAGAGGGUGAUCGGCCACACUGGAACUGAGACACGGUCAAGACUCCUACGGGAGGCAGCAGUAGGGAAUCUUCCGCAAAGGGCGAAAGCUUGACGGAGCAACGCCGCGUGAGUGAUGAAGGUCUUCGGAUCGUAAAACUCUGUUAUUAGGGAAGAACAAAUGUGUAAGUAACUAUGCACGUCUUGACGGUACCUAAUCAGAAAGCCACGGCUAACUACGUG